UUCCGGUUGAUCCUGCCGGAAGCGACCGCUAUUGGAAUUCGAUUAAGCCAUGCGAGUCGAGAGUCUUAGGGACUCGGCGUACCGCUCAGUAACACGUGGGUAACUGCCCUGUGCUGGGGAAUAACCUCGGGAAACUGAGAAUAAUGCCCCAUAAUUCACUACGCCUGGAACGGUGGGUGGAUCAAAGCUCCGGCGGCACAGGAUGGGCCUGCGGCGUAUCAGGUCGUAGGGGGUGUAAUGUACCCUCUAGCCUUCAACGCGUACGGGUUGUGGGAGCAAUCGCCCGGAGAUGGAUUCUGAGACACGAAUCCAGACCCUACGGGGUGCAGCAGGCGCGAAAACUUCACACUGCAGGAAACUGUGAUGAGGGAAUUCCAAGUGGCCAGACAAAGUCUGGUCUUUUACCAACUUUUAAUCGGUUGGUGAAUAAGGGGUGGGAAAGACCGGUGCCAGCCGCCGCGGUAAUACCGGCACCUCAAGUGGUCGUCGCUUUUAUUGGGCCUAAAACGUCCGUCGCCUGUUUGGUACAUUCGUGGGUAAAUCAAGCCGCUUAACGGCUUGAAUUCUGCGAGGACGGCCAGACUAGGGACCGGGAGAGGUAUGGGGUACUCUCAGGGUAGGGGUAAAAUCCAGUCAUCCUGAGGGGACCACCUGUUGCGAAGGCGCCAUACUAGAACGGAUCCGACGGUCAGGGACGAAGCCUAGGGGCACGAACCGGAUUAGAUACCCGGGUAGUCCUAGGUGUAAACGCUGUGGACUUGGUGUUGGGGAUUCUACGAGUAUCUCCAGUGCCGGAGUGAAGAUGUUAAGUCCACUGCCUGGGGAGUACGGUCGCAAGGCUGAAACUUAAAGGAAUUGGCGGGGGAGCACAGCAACGAGAGGAGCGUGCGGUUUAAUUGGAUUCAACGCCGGA
rnacentral:rRNA from 1 species